rnacentral:rRNA from 1 species
CACGUAGGGGACGAGCGUUGUCCGGAUUCAUUGGGCGUAAAGCGCGCGUAGGCGGCUCGGAAAGUCGGGCGUGAAAUGCCGGGGCUCAACCCCGGGACUGCGUCCGAUACUUCCGAGCUGGAGGUAGGUAGGGGGAGAUCGGAAUUCCUGGUGUAGCGGUGAAAUGCGCAGAUAUCAGGAGGAACACCGGUGGCGAAGGCGGAUCUCUGGGCCUUACCUGACGCUGAGGCGCGAAAGCUAGGGGAGCGAACAGG